GAUGAACGCUGGCGGCGUGCUUAAUACAUGCAAGUCGAACGAACAGGCGAUGAUCUUGCUGCGCUCACGUUAGCGGCGCGGGUGAGUAAAACGUGUGUAUAACCCACCUGUAAGUCUGGUAUAACCUCGAGACACCGGAUAUAAUACGGUAGAAGAUCUUGCUCCGCGGGGGUCGUUAGAAAGAUACGGUUUUUCUGGCACUUAUCGAUGCAUCUACGCCUCAUUAGCUAGUAGGUAAGGUAACGGCUUACCAAGGCAACGAGGCGUAGCCGAGCUGUGAGAGUGAUAGGCCGCACUGGAGCUUGGACGCGGUCCAGAGUCCUACGGGAGGGAGCAGUAGGGAAUCGGCGGCAAUGGGCGAGAGCAUGACGCAGCAACGCCGCGUGAGUGAUGAAGGUCUUCGGAUCGUAAAGAUCGGUUAUUAGGGAAGAACAACUGUGUAAGGAGAUAUGGACGUCUUGACGGUAAUUAAUAAGAAAGCACCGGCUAACUACGUG
rnacentral:rRNA from 1 species